ensembl:lncRNA
GGUUACCCGAGUUUCUAUCCUGUGCUAAACUAAGUGACGACAGUGUACUGAAGAGCUGGGUCAUUUCCAAAUAAAUUAAAGUUCUGAAACAUUCACGCCUUGAAAGGACCUCCCUUUUACACAGAAACAAAAGAGAUUUUUGACUAUCCAAUAAGAGUGUCUGGCACCAUCCUGACAUGUGAAACGUAAGAAAGCAAUUUUUUUUGUUUUGUUUGGUUCUGAUCUUGGGUGUGUGUGUGUGUGUGUGUGUGUGUGUGUGUGUGCGUGCGUGCGGGGGAGGGGAGGGGCGCUACUAUCACUGAUAGGUAUGUUCACCAAUCUGUCGAAUGCCAAUAUAAAAGUCAGUUCUUGGUUGCUGAAGGGAAAUGUAUGACUUGGUAUUAAAAGAAGGUAUGUGGCAUGAAAUCGCAUUUUCUGAAGGAAAACGACGUCGUUCUUUCUUCCAGGUGGCAGUUUCAGGAUGGGAGAAGCAAAGGAAUGGGUACAGAAUGGGAUCAGGAGCUUGUUAGUUCCUUGUUCCUUACCCGGACCUCCUGUGGUCAACCUAGAAGAGAUCACGGAAGAGGUAAAGAAACUUAAAAUCCAUUAGCAAAGGCAGUUCAACCUCUCAAGAAACCUUGUGCUAGGCACAACACUCUUUUCUGGGGGUCCACUUUCCCUACAACCUCCUGAUCCCAUUCUGUACCCAUUCCUUUGCUUCUCCCAUCCUGAAACUGCCACCUGGAAGAAAGAACGACGUCGUUUUCCUUCAGAAAAUGCGAUUUCAUGCCACAUACCUUCUUUUAAUACCAAGUCAUACAUUUCCCUUCAGCAACCAAGAACUGACUUUUAUAUUGGCAUUCGACAGAUUGGUGAACAUACCUAUCAGUGAUAGUAGCGCCCCUCCCCUCCCCCGCACGCACGCACGCACACACACACACACACACACACACACACACACCCAAGAUCAGAACCAAACAAAACAAAAAAAAUUGCUUUCUUACGUUUCACAUGUCAGGAUGGUGCCAGACACUCUUAUUGGAUAGUCAAAAAUCUCUUUUGUUUCUGUGUAAAAGGGAGGUCCUUUCAAGGCGUGAAUGUUUCAGAACUUUAAUUUAUUUGGAAAUGACCCAGCUCUUCAGUACACUGUCGUCACUUAGUUUAGCACAGGAUAGAAACUCGGGUAACCAAAACACCUGGAGAAACGAUUGUAUGUUCAGUUCAGUUCAGUGGCUCAGUCGUGUCUGACUCUUUGGGACCCCGUGGCCUGCAGGACGCUGGGCUUCCGUGUCCAUCACCAACUCCAGGGGCUUGCUCAAACUCAUGUCCAUCGAAUCAGUGAUGCCAUCCAACCAUCUUAGCCUCUGUCGUCCCCUUCUCCUCUGCCUUCAAUCAAGACUCUCAUAGGCAGAUAUUUUCGAGUGUAAUUAGUGUUCAUAGUUUAUCUAAAAGCUCAUAUCAC